CAUAGAUAUGUUUAAAAUGGUCAACCUUGAGAACUGCCGACAGACCUCGCCGUCACCAACCAAACCAUUCUAUCCUUCUCCUCAUCGAUCGGCCCAUCAUAAUCAGAGAGAAGCCCACUCGAUCGAUCGAGUUUUGCGCCUAAUUCUCUGCUUUGUCUCACCAUCUCCAUCCUCAGAUUAAUCGAGACUUGAUAAUGGAUAACAUAUCAUCAGAGAAGGAGAUUUCUCUAGAAUUUGUACGGGAAUCGCUAAUGGCAAUCUCACAGUGUCUACCAGAUAUCGUUGCAUCAGAUGGGUCUCCUGUUAAGCCAGCAGCAGUUGCUGCUGAUGCUUUUGUUGACCAAAAUGAUGGUACUGGAGCAGAUGAUUAUAUGUCUAAACUGAUGUCAAUCUCUUACAUGCAGUCACCAGAUGUGAAACCUUCACUGCCAUUAGUGGAAAAUCCUGGUUCAUAGGAAGGAUGGAUCUCUUGCUUGAUGUACUUUGUACUUUUUAUGUUGAAGAAGUUCUUAUGUAAAAUUGUAUUAAGUGGUUCUGGAAUCCAACUUUGCAAACUGAAACCAGAAAACUAGUAACUAUGCCAAACAUGUACUUUUAUUA